rnacentral:rRNA from 1 species
AUGAACAUCAUCAGUUGGAACUGCCGGGGGCUUGGGAACACCGAGGCAGUUCGAGAGCUUCGCAGCAUGGUGAAGCAAGAAGGGCCCACCCUUCUCUUUGUUAUGGAGACGAAGAUAAGGGCAGCGAGGGUGGAAAACCUAAAGUUAAAUUUGGGUUUCGAUGGAUGCUUCGCAGUUGACAGUGUCGGUCUAAGCGGAGGCAUUGGUUUGUUU